rnacentral:rRNA from 1 species
GACGAACGCUGGCGGCGUGCUUAACACAUGCAAGUCGAACGAAGUGGCGAACGGGUGAGUAACGCGUAAUCAACCUGCCCUUCAGAGGGGGACAACAGUUGGAAACGACUGCUAAUACCGCAUACUGAAGGAGGGGAUUGCGUCUGAUUAGCUAGUUGGAGGGGUAACGGCCAACCAAGGCGAUGAUCAGUAGCCGGUCUGAGAGGAUGAAGGGCAAAAAGGGGACUGAGACACGGCCCAGACACCUACGGGAGGCAGCAGUGGGGAAGCUUCCGCAAAGGACGAAAGUCUGACGGAGCAACGCCGCGUGAGUGAUGACGGGCUUCGGGUUGGAAAGCUCUGUUAAUCGGGACGCGGUACCGGAAUAGAAAGCCACGGCUAACUACGUGCCAGCAGCCGCGGUAAUUC